rnacentral:rRNA from 1 species
GAUGAACGCUGGCGGCGUGCCUAAUACAUGCAAGUCGAGCGAACAGAUGAGGAGCUUGCUCCUCUGACGUUAGCGGCGGACGGGUGAGUAACACGUGGAUAACCUACCUAUAAGACUGGGAUAACUUCGGGAAACCGGAGCUGAUACCGGAUAAUAUAUUGAACCGCAUGGUUCAAUAGUGAAAGACGGUUUUGCUGUCACUUAUAGAUGGAUCCGCGCCGCAUUAGCUAGUUGGUAAGGUAACGGCUUACCAAGGCAACGAUGCGUAGCCGACCUGAGAGGGUGAUCGGCCACACUGGAACUGAGACACGGUCCAGACUCCUACGGGAGGCAGCAGUAGGGAAUCUUCCGCAAUGGGCGAAAGCCUGACGGAGCAACGCCGCGUGAGUGAUGAAGGUCUUCGGAUCGUAAAACUCUGUUAUUAGGGAAGAACAAAUGUGUAAGUAACUAUGCACGUCUUGACGGUACCUAAUCAGAAAGCCACGGCUAACUACGUG